UAUUGCAGUGAACCAAAAAUUAUCAAAUAUUGGCAAUUUCAUAUAGUUUAAUCUAAUACUACUAAUAGAAAUCCAUUCUUUGUAAAUAUCUUAAUCCUUUCCUUAUUCAUCUCCUAGUUUGUGGAAGGACAGGUGAUUUAAUUGCUCCAAUAUAACUUUUUUUUUUGAGACAAAGUUUGGCUCUUGUUGCCCAGGCUGGAAGUGCAGUGGUGAAAUCUCAGUUCACUGCAACCUCCACUGCCCAGGUUCAAGCAAUUCUCUUGCCUCAGCCUCCCUAGUAGCUGGGAUUACAGGCAUGUGCCACCAUGCCCAGCUAAUUUUUUUGUAUUUUUGAUGGAGAUAGGGUUUCUCCAUGUUGGUCAGGUUGCUCUCGAACUCCUGACCUCAGGUGAUCCACCCACCUCAGCUUCCCAAAGUGCUGAGAUUACAGGCGUGAGCCACUGAGCCCAGCCCCAAUAUAAUGUUUUUUAACUUUUACUUGUUUUAGUUUUCCUAAAGAGUCACAUAGAUUUCUUUUACUGUUAACACAGCGUCCAUGAAGACUGUGUAUGCAAUAUACAUGGUUCCCAGAGCCAACAACCUACUGAGGAUGUUGUCACAGAGAAUCUGGCGCAGAGUGGAUGUGAAGUGAGCUUAAAAUUGGACAGAGCUGGACUAUCAGAAAGUGGUAAAUGAAGCAGUCCACUCCUGGCUCCUUUAAACUACUGUGACUGUUCUGCUGUUUUGGGGAAGAGCGUUCCUAUACUAGCCAGGUGGUUGUGACAAACAAACGUUGAACAUGACCAUUCAUCAUUCCACACAGUGGAGAUGAGGUUUGGUCCGCAGCAGGAGGUAGUUAAAUUUGACGUACUCAAAGUGAAUUGCAUGGCCUGGCUGCUAUUGAGUAGCCUUGCUGGGAGUAGCCUAUGAUGGAAGGAAAUUCUUCUCUGUUGUGGUGUUUUGGGGAAGUUGCCUGGUGGGGAGAGGAAAACAUAAAGCUGGGAUAAGAACUGUGCUCUCCAAAGAAAAAAGGAGGCUACUUUUGAGAUGGAGUCUUGCUCUGUCACCUAGGCUGGAGUGAAAUGGUGUGGUCUCGGCUCACUGCAACAUGUUUCCUGGGUUCAAAUGAUUCUCCUGCCUCAGCCUCCCAAGAAGCUGGGACUACAGAUGCAUGCCACCAGGCCCAGCUAAUUUUUAUAUUUUUAGUAGAGAUGGGGGUUUCACUAUGUUGGCCAGGCUGGUCUCGAACUCCUGACCUCAUGAUCUGCUCUCCUCGGCCUCCCAGAGUGCUGAGAUUACAGACGUGAGCCACCACACCUGGCCAGGAGGCUACUUUUGAAUGAAUGCAUCUAUGAUGCAAGAUCUAGUGGGAGGCUUCUCUUCUUUUGAAAGACCAUUCUGUGCCCCACCCUGUUCCUAUCCCACAUUUGCCUCAAUUUCAUUUUUUCCUUAGAUUUCACAUUAUAGAUACAUAAAUAACUCAAACUCAAGUGGAACAUUCUGGAGAGACAGAGUUUCUAGUUAAUACAGGAACAACCUUUCAAUAAAACUAGUAUCACAUUUGAAAUGCAAUGAUAUCGUCCAGGAUGCUUUAGACUUUCUUGGCAUCUGGAGUGAAUGCUACUGCUUGUAGAAAAUAAUCCACUGAUUUCAGAAUUCUGGGGGCGGUGGGGGUGCUCCCUUUCUCUCUUCUUUCUUUCUACACUUAAAAAAUAACCUGCAAAUCUUGUUCAAAUUCUUUUGCAAGGAAAUGUAUAAACUAUCUGUGCAUCCUACAGGUUUUUCCCCAUCAUGAUGGCUCUAAACUAAGGAAAAUACAUUUACAUGCCCAUAAACUCAGACACUCUUGGAGUCCCAUUUUCUUUCUGUGUGUGCUGUUCCUUUUCUCUCUCUCUCUCUCUUUGUGUCUAUGGUUACUGUUAAGCUGACCUCUACAGUCUGGGGCAAAUACCAAACUUGAAUCAAGCACUACUUAUCCAUACAGCUGUGAAGGAUUGCGGUUUCAGGGGCUCAGAUGAUAGAUUCAAGUAAAGUUUCUAACUGGAGUUUAGGAAACCUGUUAUGAUUUCAUCUACAAAGGCAGGCUGCAUCGCACCCCACUGUGCCGAAUUUUAGAUGCAAUGUUGUGUUAUUGUUGUUUUUUCUUUUUUUAAUGAGAAACAUCUUUAUUAUAAAUGAUCCAUUUUUAUGUCUGUGUUGAUUUUUAUAAUACCGAAUUUCAUUGUUGAGAACAAUGACUGCAGAAAGAUCUUUAUUGUUCCUGCCUCCUGUCUGGAAGCAACUGUUGCUUGCAAAAACCAUAGCUAAUUAAACAUUGAACUUAAUUAGCUACAAAGAAGCCAGACUGGCCAGGGCUGGGAGGAAGGGCAGAUAAAGCUGCCGACUCUGUGUUCUUCUUUACCUUCGCUUUAAUGGUCUUCGCAGCUGGUCGUGUUUAUGAGUCAGACGACCCUAGAGCGACACUUGUUGGGGACGGGCAGGACACCACAGCCCGACCGGCAGCUCCUGCGAGUGGCGGCCAGAGCCGAGUGCCAGCGCCGUGGAAACCGGUUCUCAGGUUCUCGCCGAGUGGACUUGCCCUUACAUCAGCGGGCCUGCUCCUGUCAGGCAGGCGGCCGGCGAUUGGCCGGGAGGAGGCAGUCAUUCAAACUGCCUUUUGUGCUUGGAUAAUCAGGGCAGCCCAGGUUCCCAGCGGAGGUGCGUCUGUGGUGUCAGACACCUGUGUCUCAGCUCUGCCUUCCUGGGGCUGGCUUCUGAGGAUCCUUUCUGGGCCGGAACCGCCUCUCUGGGCCACCUCCCCCAAGCCCCCGCGGUGGACCAGCCUUGGCCCCGUGUCACGCAGGACAGAAAUGUCCAACAGAUAACUGAGGACAAUGGACGUGCCUAGGCAUAGACUUCCUUAAGGUUUGUUCCUCAUGGUUGCAAGAUGGUUGCUGCGGCUCCAGGCAUCACAUCCUCACAGAUCUGUGUCCAAAGAAGGAAAGGAGUUCUAGUUUCGUGUAUUUCAUCAAGAAUGAUAAAUACUUUUUCAAAAAUCGUCCUGCAAACUCUCUUUUUUUGGGGGGUCAGAUCUCAUUAGCUAGGCUAUGUCCUAUAUCCUUGCCUACACUAACUAGUAACUGGCAGGGAGUCAGAUUACCAUGAAUGAUAUAGAUUAGGCAGGGUUAAUCCCUUAGGGUGAUGAAGGAGCUGCUUUCUGAGCACAUCAUUAUCUGAUGGUGUAAUAGAAUCAAAAUUAUACUUGUGGAGUAAAACAGGGGUUGGUGACCAUUGAAUAAACAAUUAUGAGGGCCUGUCUUAGAUGAGCAAGUGUCUAAGCCAGGCGAAUCAGAGGAUUUCUUUGGAAUUUUAUGUUUUCAUGCACGGAGUCUAAGAGGAGGCAGCAGUCUCUUUUGCAGUUGUUCAUCUGGGAUAAGGUAAACCUGAAGUUCUCUGCUCUGUGGUUGUCUUCUGUGUACUUUGCCCCCACAUGCACACACACUGAAUCCUGUUGGUGUACAUGAAAGUGAGGUCUUUUUCUCACCUUGCUCUCUAUGUUUAUACUGUCAUGCCCCACAUAAUAACAUUUGGGUCAACAACAGACCCCAUGCGUGACAGUGGUUCCGUAAACUGAUAACGGAGCAUAUACAGAAACGUGAUACACAGCACUUGCUAUUGGCCCUGCAGAUCAAGUAGGGGAAAUGUUUGAUCUUCAGUAAUGUGCUGGGACGGUUGUUUUGUCGUAUAAAAUAUAGCCAGGUGUGGUGGCUUGUGCCUAUGAUCUCAGCUACUUGGGAGUUAGAGGCAAAAGGAUUGCUUGAGCCUGGGAGGUAGAGGCUGCAGUGAGCUGUGAUCACACCACUAUAUUCCAGCCUGAGCAACAGAGCAAGACCCUGUCUCUAAGAAGAAAAGCGAAAGGUGUUGUAUAUAACAUCUAGGUUUGUGUACAUACUGUCUCUGAUGUUUUUGCGAUGAAAUUGCCUAAUCCAGGCUGGGUGCGGUGGCUCAAGCCUGUAAUCCCAGCACUUUGGGAGGCCGAGGCGGGUGGAUCAUAAGGUCAAGAGAUCAAGACCAUCUUGGUCAACAUGGUGAAACCCCAUCUCUACUAAAAAUACAAAAAAAAAAAAAAAUCAGCUGGGCAUGGUGGCGCGUGCCUGUAAUCCAGCUACUCAGGAGGCUGAGGCAGGAGAAUUGCCUGAACCCAGGAGGCGGAGGUUGCAGUGAGCCAAGAUUGCACCAUUGCACUCCAGCCCGGGUAACAAGAGCAAAGCUCCGUCUCAAAAAAAAGAAAUUGCCUAAUCUUGUCACGUAUUCCCAUCGUUCAGCAAUGCAUGACUGUGUCUAGAUGUAUAGGUAGGUAGAUAGGCACAGACACACAGACACACACACACACACAGACACACACUCUCCAGUGGAUGCUGUCUCUCUCAAGGGAUAACCUGACAAUAAUUUCCAGUCCCUGAGGCCAUCUCCAUCCCUGGCCUUCUCAAGAAAUUCCCAUUUUUGCUUGAAUUUCUCUGUUGGUGUCACUUCAUCAUUUGCAACAACAGGAACACAAUCCCAUCAGAACCAUUCUAAGCUUCUGGGAUUCUGUCCCUCACAUCUGCUAGUGUGUGGACCUGGCUCACCCCAGUGCCAUCACUGGGCUCUACCCCAGGUGCCCCACAGCUCUAGAGCCUUACCACCUGAUAAACUCAGCCUUGCCCAGCACCAGGUUGCACCAGCAGCAAUGCGAACAGCUCCGCCUAUAGCUGAGCAAGAGCAGGUUCAGCCUCACCACUUCAAUGGGACCUUGUUGGGGAUCAUGUCCUCCUAGAAUAGAUGAGAACGGGGAGACAGUAACCUCUGUCUCUGAUAAAGGUGUAAUAUCUGCCCAGUCUUUCCUAAAGUGACUCAACGAAAGAGACCACCCGAUCGACAAGUACAUUUUCAUAAAUAAAAUGACUUGAUUUCAGAUAUACAAGUGCCUUUGUUUGACAGGGAGUUUAAAUCUGGUGGCUGUAUUCCUUUUGGCCUGACUUAAAUAGGCAAAGAGAGUUGUGGAUUCCUAUCAGUGGGGAAUCAGUAAAGGAUUCGAGAAGGAAGUGACUAGGAGAGCAGAGCGAAGUCAUAAACAAAAUCAGUGUGGCCAUGAGGGGAAGGCCAACUGGAUUAAUGAGAAAAAUCCCAUGGAAGGUGGAAAUAUAAGACAUGGAGACUCAUUCAGGAAGUAUAGAUAGUUUUUUUCAUAUUUAUUUUUCCUAUUUUGUCAUGCAAAUGGUAUAAACAUUUGUGAAACUAGAGAGUCAUACAAAUUCCCAUGCACGCACCAUCCAGCUGAAUGGCUCUUGUUAAGUAGAACAAGACAAGGAGAAGAUGAAAGAAAGGAGCAGGACCCAGUGAAGGACAAAAUGUUCCAUGACAGAUCCAUGAGUGAACUUGUCAAGAAGGAACAGGAAGCUGAAAUCCAAGAUGUUUAUUCUUCUAAAUCAUAGGUUAAUGAAAUAAUUGAUAAAUGAGAUCUGGCUUCUAGUUAUUUGAGUAGGGAUUAUGUACUUUGAGGAAGCAGAUCCCCUGUUACGUAAUCUCCCAAUUGCUGUUGUGGGGGGACCAAAAGGCCCCCAUCUAACAAGGUGACAAGGCUCAGACAGCAAGAGGCAGCAUUUGUUUGUUUGGCAUUUAGCAACUUCUUAUCUACAGUCUCCCAGGCACUGCUCUAGGCUUUGCGGACAUGCAAUUCUGAAGGACUGGGUUCUUGCUUUCUGAGAAUGCAGCACCUACUGGUGAAAAUAGAUGAGAAAAAUGUAUGCUUAUAGCAGGCAUGCUGUAAUGAAGUUUUUCUGGUAACAUAGAAAAGAUGAAAGCUGCUGGGCGCAGUGGCUCACGCCUAUAAUCCCAGCACUUUGGGAGGCCGAGGCGGGUGGAUCAUGAGGUCAAGAGAUCGAGACUAUCCUGGUCAACAUGGUGAAACCCUAUCUCUACUAAAAAUACAAAAAUUAGCUGGGCAUGGUGGCGCACACCUGUAGUCCCAGCUACUCGGGAGGUUGAGGCAGGAGAAUUGUUUGAACCCAGGAGGCGGAGGUUGCAGUGAGCCAAGAUCGCGCCAUUGCACUCCAGCCUGGGUAACAAGAGCGAAACUCCAUCUCAAAAAAAAAAAAAAGAAAGAAAAGAUGAAAGCUUCUUGUAGGAGGAUGAUUGUCUUGAUCUUUGGAAGGAUGAACAGGUGUUAGGUAAAUGGAUUUAGUGAGCAAAGGUGUUCUAGCUAGACAAAGUAAAUUAUGCAAAGGGAGAGAGGUACCCAAAGAGAACCUUAGCCAGGGCUGCAGGGUUGAUGGCACACUUGUGACCUACUAAAAGACAAGGUGGGGAUGAGGUAGGGGUGGCCAGGAAGUGGGAAGCAGGGGCUAAAAUUCAGCCUGGGCUUUGCCCCCUGGUGCAGCUGUAUCCACCUGGAGAAAGAGAUGGCGUUUUCUGGUUUGACAAGGGGCCACAUUGGGGGUAGCCCUGUCUGAGCGUAUUUGGUAUUCUUUGACUAAAGAGUGUGUGCGAGGAUGCUCAUGAGUUUGAACAGAACCCAGAAAGGUGGUGAGGCAUUAAUAAAUAAUUAAAAGGCAGAGUAGUGACAAAAUCAGACCUGCGCUUGCAAAAGACCAUUCUUGCUGCAUUUUGGGAGCUGGUUUUAAAGAUGUUAAGUCUGAAGCAAAAGAAACCAGUGAGGAAAGGCUGGUUCAGGUGAAAAAUAAUGGGGGCCUGAAUGGCAGCUGUGGGAGGGGAAGGAAAGGAAGUGGUGCAUUGAAUAUCCAGAAGGUACAGCAGGCAGACUUGGUGAUCGGCUGGCUCCUUGGGUGCAGGGGAGCAAGGUGAGGAGGAUGACUCCCAGGGUUUCAGCUUCAGCAGGCUCAGUGGAAGGUGAUCACAUUCCAGCAAAGAUCAAUAAACCCAAGAACUUUGCCGCAGUGUGUGCUGAGGUGUUACCUGUUGAAUAAUAACAAUAAAAGAGUUCUUUAUAUUAGCAUGGUGGUUAAAGAUUAAAAGGAAGGCUUUAGUAUUACCUUUUGAAACAGAGGAAAAACACCUUGAUCUUGGGUUGUGUCCCUUCAGAGAAUGAGCAAUUGAUAUGAAAGAAAACUGUAGGGUCUCUUGCAUUGCCAUUCCAUUCAAGUACAGCAAAAUCCCCCUUAGUGGAUAAACUGGCCAUUCAAGAUAGGUCAGAGAGUAAUGACCAGCUGCAGAAAGUGAGUUCAUCUCCUUUCUUUGUUUCAAGAUGAAAAUAAUAUAAAUCUAGGAUAUCUCAAAUCCUUUCCCAUUGCUUUUGGAGAAAGCAGGUUUGGUUUUGUUUCUGGUGGUGGACAUGUCAGCAGCAUUCUUUCCAUCUCCCUGUGGUUGUCGUGAUGGUGUCCUAGCACAGGCUUUGAAGUUGAAUGGUCCUGAGUUUGAAUUCCUAGUUCAUCACCGUCUGUCACUUUGGGCAGAAUACUUAUCUCUGUGAACAUCAUCUGUAAAAUGUAGGGAAAUAUGGUUUCCUCAUGGAGCUGUUAUGUGGGUUAAGGGACAAGGAAAGGGGGUCCUUGGCACAGGACCUGUAGCACAUGCUGGUCACAAGUGGUGGUGCUAUUGUACUUGUUAAUGCCGGUGUUCAGAUAUCAAGAAAGGAUAUAACACCUGGAAUCUAGCACUUUAGGAGGCUGAGGCGGGAGGAUCACUUGAGCCCAGGACAAUGUAGUGGACCCUGUCUCUACAAAAAACAUUGUUUUUAAAAAUUAGCCAGAUGUGGUGGCACAUGCCUGUAGUCCCAGCUACUCAGGAGGCUGAAGCGGGAAGAUGGCUUGAGCCCAGGAGGUCAAGGCUGCAGUGAGCCAUGAACAUGCCACUGUAUUUGGUCUAAAGGAAAAAAAAGACUUGCUUUUGCAGCCUUUGAUUAUUUUAUGGGCUUGCAUCUAUUAGAUGCUGACCAUAUAUUAUGUUGUCUUCUUUAUGGGUUAACCUGAGAACAAAGAGUUCCAUGCCACGUGAGUCAAAGAGCAGGUUAUAUACAUGGCUUGCUCCUUCCGGAUGUGUCUUGAGGUACUGUGCUUGUGACAGAGAAGCAUACCGUUAGACUGUAGAAAUCACUGGAAAGAAAACAGAAAACUGGUACUUUCGGCUUUCACAUGAUCAAGGUGUUUUCCUAGGAUAGAGUAGGCCACUGAAGCUACAUGAUAUUACAUUAAUAAUUCAACAAAGCACAUUGAUUAACUACCGCCCACGACUUCAGCAGCUAAUAGCACUAAAGAAAAUGGACUUCAAUUUUCUUAUCAAGAAAUGGUCUUGAUAAGACACCAAGUGACUAUAACUUUGGUCAUCGCUCUGGAAUGUCUCUGUUGGUGCUGCCAGUUUUCAUUGCCCAUAGGUGCAAUGUGGAAAUUUUUAUAAAUGCUCCCAUUUAAUGCUUUUACAAAUUAACAACAUUUUUAUACGGUAUUGUAACUGAAAACGAACAAGUAUUCUUCUUAUCUCACCUGUAGAAAAGGGAGUGGUGAGAAUUCGGGAGUUAAUAUUGUAAAAACAAUAAGAAAUACAUGUUUAAGUAUUACUGGUUUUGAUUGGCACUGAAUCCUCAUGAAGCAUCCAUGAGAAUCAAACAGAACCAGGGACUAGGAAAAGUGGAAAGUCUGUGUUCUUGUAUUACCCUAAAAUCUAUUAGGUUCGUGCAAAAGUAAUCAUGAUUUUUGCAAUUACUUUAAUGGCAAAAACCACGAUUACUUUUGCACCAACCCACGCCUUUGAGAAGGAAGAGAAGUUUUCAGCGUGUUUAAAAUUAGCCAUCCGUAGUUUGUUGUAAAAGGGAAAGAAAAUUAGGUGACAGUUAAAAAUUUAAAUCAGUGGUUCUCAGCUAGAGGCGAUUUCCCUCCAAGGGACAUUUAGCAAAACCUGGAGAGAUUUGGUAGUCACAACUGUGUGUGAUGUGGGAAGGGGGUUGUGCUAUUGGCAUCUAGUAGGUAGAGGUCAGGGAUGCUGCCCACAUCCUGCAAUGCACAGGAAAGGCCCCCCCAAUAGAGAAUUACCUGAUCUGGUCCCAAAUGUCAGUAGUGCCAAGGCUGAGAAACACUGAGUUAAGUUAACAGCUGCUGGGAGCUUCCAGCAUGGGACUGUCUCUUUCAGCAAGGAAUUAGCCAUCCUGUUAAUUGAAAUUAUUUUCCUUAGGUUAUGUAGGGAAAAUAUACUCCUCUACUUUCUUUCUUUCUAUUUAUUUAUUUAUUUUUAAGAUGGAGUCUCGUGCCUCUCUACUAUUUAUUUAUUUAUUUAUUUAUUUAUUUAUUUAUUUAUUUAUUUUUGAGACAGAGUCUUGCUCUGUCACCCAGGCUGGAGUACAAUGGUGCAAUCUCUGCUCACUGCAACCUCCACCUCCCAGCUUCAAGGGGUUAUCCUGUCUCAGCCUCUCGAGUAGUUGGGACUACAGGUGCACUACCACGCCCAGCUAAUUUUUUUGUAUUUUAGUAGAGACGGGAUUUCACUGUGUUGGCCAUGCUGGUCUCCUCAGGUGAUCCACCCACCUUGGCCUCCCAAAGUGCUGGAAUUAUAGGCGUGAGCCACCGUGCCUGGGCUUACCCCACUACUUCUUACAGGUUUAGUUUAGACUAGAUAUCUUCUUUAUACAGAGCUCUCAAAUUAUCAGACAAUUCAGUUCCCAAAGUCUUCAGGCCAGGUACUUGAUAGAUUGUGGGUGCAAAACAACAAGCAGGUUGGCUCAAGGGUUCACUUCUCAGCUGGUUGAGUCAGACUCUGUGGGGACACAGCUGUUUUGUGGUGAUAAAGAGAGCAGAAUAAAGAACUUGGUUGAGGAAAUGCCUUCACAUUUCAACACUCCUCUUCAAGGAAAGGGAAAGUUGGCUUUUCAAAUUCUUGCUAAGUGUGAAGCCAUCCAGGAGCAAUUACAGAAUCUGUUUUCCUUGACUUAGUUCAUGAACUAUUUAUUGAGCACUUACCGUCCCAAUCCCUGUGAUAAGUACUGCUCCUGAUACAAAGAAAACUCAAAUGAUUUUAAGACUAACUAAAAAAAAAUUAUAGGGCUGGGCAUGGUGGCUCAGGCCUGUAAUCCCAGCACUUUGGGAGGCCGAGGCAGAUGGAUCACAAGGUCAAGAGAUCAAGACCAUCCUGGUCAACAUGGUGAAACCCCGUCUCUACUAAAAAUACAAAAUAUUAGCUGGGCAUGGUGGCGCGUGCCUGUAAUCCCAGCUACUCAGGAGGCUGAGGCAGGAGAAUUGCCUGAACCCAGGAGGCGGAGGUUGCGGUGAGCCGAGAUUGCGCCAUUGCACUCCAGCCUGGGUAACAAGAUUGCACUCCAGCCUGGGUAACAAGAGCGAAACUCCGUCUCAAAAAAAAAAAAAAAAAAAAAAAAAAUAGCCAUUUUGUGAAGAGAGGAAGAUUGAGCGGUUGUGGCCGUGUUGCCGACCUCGAGCAGCAGGCGGCUUCUCCGUGUAGAACCCGGGAGUAGGAGACUCAGAAUCGAAUCUCUUCUCCCUCCUCCCUCCUGUGAGAGUAUUUUGAUCUUCAGCUACAUUUUCGACGUUGUGAGAAACCUUAUCAUCAAACACAAUGGCCAGCAACGUUACCAACAAGACAGAUCCUCGCUCCAUGAACUCCUGUGUGUUCAUUGGGAAUCUCAACACUCUUAUGGUCAAGAAAUCUCAGGGGGAGGCAACCUUUUCCAAGUAAGGCAAAAUGGUGGGCUGCUCUGUUCAUAAGCGCUUUGCCUUUGUUCUAUAUAUUAAUGAGAGAAAUGCCCAGCCUGCUGCAGCAGGAGAGGAUGGCUGAAUCAUUGCUGGCCAGGUUUUAGAUAUUAACCUGGCUGCAGAGCCAGAAGUAAACCGAGGAAAAGCAGGUGUGAAACGAUCUGCAGUGGAGAUGUAUGGCUCCUCUUUUGACUUGGACUAUGACUUUCAAAGGGAUUAUUAUGAUAGGACGUACAGUUACCCAGCACGUGUACCUCCUCCUCCUAUUGCUCGGGAUGUAGUGCCCUCGAAAUGUCAGCGUGUAUCAGGAAACACCUCGCGAAGGGGCAAAAGUGGCUUUGAUUCUAAGAGUGGACAGCAGGGAUCUUCCAAAUCUGGAAAGUUGAAAGAUGACCUUCAGGCCAUUAAGAAGGAGCUGUCCUAGAUCAAACAAAAAGCGGAUUCUCUCCUGGAAAACCUGGAAAAAACUGAAAAGGAACAGAGCAAACAAGCAGUAGAGAUGAAGAAUGAUAAGUCAGAAGAGGAGCAGAGCAGCAGCUCCGUCAAGAAAGAUGAGACUAACGUGAAGAUGGAGUCUGAGGGGGGUGCAGAUGACUCUGCUGGGGAGGAGACCUACUGGAUGAUGAUGGUAGUGAUGACCAGCUGGAGUUGAUCAAGGAUGAUGAAAAGGAGGCUGAGGAAGGAGAGGAUGACAGAGACAGUGCCAAUGGUCAGCAUGACUCUUAGGCACAUAGUGGGGUUUAGAAAUCUUAUCUCUUUAUUUCUUUACCUAGGCGCUUGUCUAAGAUCAAAUUUUUCACCAGAUCCUCUCCCCUAGUAUCUUCAGCACAUGCUCACUGCCCUCCCCAUCCUUGUCCUUCCCAUAUUCAUUAAUUCAUAUUUCCCUGUGCCUAGUCCCAUUUUCACUCCCUUUGAUGCUCCUAGUAGUUUUUUGUUGUCUUACCAUGUAAUUUUUGCUUUUAAUUUUGAUACCUCUUUAUGACUUAACAAUAAAAACGAUGUAUGGUUUUUAUCAACUGUCUCCAAAAUAGUCUCUGGUUAUGAAGGGAGUACAGUUCUUUUCAUUCAUACAUGAGUUCAGUAGUUGCUUCCCUGACUGCAAAGGCAGUUGAGUAGCUCCUGAAAGCAGCUUUGAGUUAGACGUGUGUGUGUUACACCCCACAUUAGUGUGCCGUGUGGGGCAGUUCAACACAAAUGUAAUGACAUAUUUUUGUGAAUGAGAGUUGGCAUGUCAAAUGCAUCCUCUAGAAAAAUGACUAGUGUUACAGUCUUAAGAUUUGUUUUCUGCCGGGCGCGGUGGCUCAUGCCUGUAAUCCUAGCACUGGGAGGCCGAGGCGGGUGGAUCACGAGGUCAAGAGAUCGAGAUCAUCCUGGUCAACAUGGUGAAACCCCAUCUCUACUAAAAAUACAAAAAAUUAGCUGGGCAUGGUGGUGCGUGUCUGUAAUCCCAUCUACUCAGGAGGCUGAGGCAGGAGAAUUGCCUGAACCCAGGAGGUGGAAGUUGCAGUGAGUCUGGGUAACAAGAGCGAAACUCCGUCUCAAAAAAAAAAAGAUUUGUUUUCUAAAGUUGAUACUGUGGGUUAUUUUUGAGAACAGCCUGAUGUUUGUAACCUUUUUUCCUCAAAAUAAACAAGUCCUUAUUAAACCAGGAAAAAAAAAAUGACAAAGUCCUGUAGGUCAUCCCUUUAUCUCAGAAAAAAAGAAAUGUUGGACAAAGGAUCUCUCUCCUAGAUUUUAUGUUAGCUGUAUCUUACAAUGUAUAAAGUUAAAUCCACAUUCUAUGCAUGUAAUUGUCUAUUGAAAGCUGUAAAAAUAUACAAAUUUCUAAUACAUGACUCAGUCAUAUGCUAAUUUUCUUGAUUUUUUUUCCUUUAGAAUGCUUUUGCUUUAUCUUUGAAAGAUGACCCAGUUCUCAGGCUUACUAUUGGAGAUACAUUGAUAUAUAGUAGGCAAAAUUAAAUUUAAUUACAAUACAUAAACUUGAUCAUAUGAGAAAGGUUUUAAAUUGGACCUCUCUUGGUCCAGCCUAUAGGAAAACAAAUUACUUUUCAUUAUGUGAAUGCAUCUCCAGACACUUCAGUAGAACUUACUGUACAAAUACGACAGAAGAGGUAGGAAGGUGGACCCUGGAGCCAGACUACCUGGAUUAAAAUCCUGCCUCUGCCACUGAUACUCUGUGACUGUGCAACCUUAGAUCACUUCCCUCCUGGUGCCUCAGCGUCCUUUUCUUCAAAUUGAGGAUAACAGUCAUAGUAUUUUCCUUAGAAAGUGAUUACAAGAACUGAAUGAGCUAAUGCAUGUAAAUAGCACAUAGUAAAUGCUCAGUAUACAUUAUUUUUAUUGUCAUUAUUGUUGUGUUUUAUUUUAUUUUUCUAUAUUUGUACUAAAGAUGCAUUGAUGGAUGGAGCCGUUGCAGCUUGCCUAAGUGCAAUGUGGUAUAAAGUCUCCUUAUUUUGAUUCCACGUGUUCCUUGAAAUAGUUAUCUUUUAAAAACACAUAUUUGGCCGGGUGCAGUGACAUAUACCUGUAAUCCCAGAACUCUGGGAGGCUGAUGCAGGCAAAUCACGAGGUCAGGAGAGCAAAACCAUUCUGGCUAACAUGGUGAAAGCCUGUCUCUACUAAAAAUACAAAAAAUUAGCUGGGCAUGGUGGCAGGUGCCUGUAGUCCCAGCUACUCAGGAGGGUGAGGCAGGAGAAUCACUUGAACCCGGGAGGCAGAGGUUGCAGUGAGCUGAGAUGUGCCACUGCACUCCAGCCUGGGUGACAGAGCAAGACACACAAAAAAACUGGACAAAACAAAACAAAAAAACCAUACUUUGGAACAGGACAUUUAUUGACUGAUUUAUGAGCAAAGCCUCUGACUUUCUGUGCAGUAUCACCACAUGAAGUAAUGGAAUAACACCAACAUCUUGUAUUCUUAAGCCUCUAGAGCAUCUCAGUCUUCAGGCAGCAGAGGAGGGCAUUUGUUAGAAUUGGAGCCUCUAGCUGCCUUGGAAGAGGAUGCUUUCAACUCGUUUAGCCUGUUGUAAUACUUGCGGGGGGUACUGGUUGAUUGCGCUUUAAAUCUGUUGAUAUCAAAUAUGGGCUGGCUAUAUUUAUGCCGAGUUGUUGAGAUAUUAUGUAAUAUUUAUUGUUCCUAAAGCAGGAUAGGAUGAAAAUGCUAUACACAAACAGGUUUCUAGAGCAUGUCUCACUUGCUCUCCUCCAUACAGACACAUGAUUGCUUUUGAGCUUAACUACAUUUCUUAUGGUAUCUAAGUUGCCUGUGUUAUUCUGGUGAGCAAAGGUGUUUGAUCAAAGUGAUCUCCUGAAAGUUUGAAUUUCCUCGUUAAAAUGUUCAGAUGGGAACUAUUCACCUAAAGAAUACCAUAAAGAUAUUAGAAAACAUUGCUUUUUUUUGUUGUUAUUUUGUUUGUUUAUUAUGAGAUGGAGUCUUGCUCUGUCACCCAGGCUGGAGUGCAAUCGCAUGAUCUUGGCUCACUGCAACCUCCACCUGGGUUCAAGCAAUUCUCCUGGCUCAGACUCCUGAGUAGCUGGGACUACAGGUGCAUGCCACCACACACAGCUAAAUUUUUUUGUAUUUUUAGUAGAGACCGGGUUUCACCUGUUAGCCAGGAUGGUGUCGAUCUCCUGAUGUCACCAUCCGCCCACCUCAGCCUCCCAAAGUGCUGGGAUUACAGGUGUGAGUCACUGCACCCAGCCAGAAAUCAUUGUUUUUUAAGCAUUGAUGCUGGUAAUUGUUAGUGUCUGAAACUUUUGAAAUCAAAAGGAUGCUGAAACACUAAAACAGUAAGUUUUAUAAGACAAAAGUAACCUUGCGUUCAAAAUAAGAGGUCUAGGAAUUAUAUUCUAUUGAUUUCAGAUUGAAUUUGUAGUAAAUAAAUAAUUACCUCUAUAUAAGGCUAAGAAUUUACUCAUCUAUAAAACCAAAAAGGUGAACUCGUUAAUCUCUAGGGUACAUUUUGUCUCUAAAAUUUCAAAAAUCCAUCUAAUAUGUUUCCCUGGAUUGAAUUCCUCAAGGGUCAAGGUGCAUGCACCUUUGACAGAGUGCUGAACGAAGCAUUACUAAUAACCAUUAAACUGAUAUGGAUUUAAAUGCCUCUUCUACAGCUCAAAUGUAGGCUUGAAAAGUAAUGUCCCCAUGGUGGUAAAAGCGUCAGUAUGAGUGUAUGUGUGGAAAGAUUUGUUGUAGGAAGAUCAGUCAGCCCUAUUUCAUGAUGACUUCAAUGGUGUGGGCGCAGCAGUGGAGCCACGGCCUUGAUGGCAUCAUCAGAGUGAAUUUUAAUUAAAAACGAGUGGAGAAAUCGACAGCCAGGAUUUACCCAGGAAAUAACUAAAUGACAUACAGCUCAGAAGAGAUAUUUUGAGGCACAAUUUUAUUGCAUUCUAGUGGGAGAGAAUAGUUCUCCUUAUAAAAAUUCUAAGAAAAGUUGGAAAAAUAAUGAGCACCAUAAAUUAGAUUUGAAUUUGGCAUGCACUGUAGCUGCAACACAUCCCAUUCUGUGUCCCCUUAAACUGUUGGAGAGCAGGCAGGUAUAACUCAUCCCUGUAACUUGGGUAAGCAGAAAUUAAAAUAAUUUUAUUUAAGAAACAAAUAGCAAAAAGAGGAAACUAUAAAGAAGAACUGUGCAACUCAGCUAAGUGACAACAAAGGGAAAAAACCUAAUGAAGUUGCUGAAGAGGGGGAAAUACUUUUUUAGUGGCGUAAAUCUCAGGACCAAACAACAACAACAAAAUGACAAGAUGUAUGCUUUUAAAUAGAUGAAAAAAAAUCCUUGUUUUCUAAAAUGUGACUUUAAAGACACUUGGUAGAAAUUCUAAUAGCUACAGUUCAAUUUCUUUCUAUAAUAACACUUUUGAUACAGAAUCACUAUCAUAUCAUAGUUCCAAAAAUGUAUUAAAGGCACAAUAUUACAUAUUUUAAACAAACAAAUAUUUUUAAGUAUCCUACUGACUGCUGCUUACCAGUGUGAUGCACAUUAACUACUAUGAAUGUCAGCUUUCGUGUCUGUAAAAUGGGAGUAAAGGCUGGAUGCGGUGGCUAACACCUGUAAUCACACUUUGGGAGGGGGGCGGAUCAUUUGAGGUCAGGAGUUUGAGACCAGCCUGACCAACAUGGUGAAACCCCCAUCUCUGCCAAAAUACAAAAAUUAGCCAGGCCUGGUGGCAGGCGCCUGUAAUCUCAGCUGCUUGGGAGGCUGAGGCAGGACAAUCACUUGAACCCAGGAGACGGAGGUUGCAGUGAGCCAAGAUCGUGCCACUGUACUCCAGCCUGGGCAACAGAGUGAAACUCCCUCUCAAAAAUUAAAUAAUAAAUAAAAUGGGAGUAAAAACCUUUAUCUCCAGAGUUCCUGGGAGUAUAAAUGACAUGCAUUUUCAUUAAAUUGCAUACGUAGAAUUUAGUGGGUAGCUGGCAGGAGUCCAAAAAAUGCCGUAGCAGCUUGCAUGUAGUGGUCUUGGUAUGCUAAACUCUUGACUCUGACAGUUUGCCUAUUUUUUACCAAAUCAGCUUACUGAACCUCAAUUCAAAAUCUUCAAAAAUGGCAGGAAAACUGUGUGUGUGUGUGUGUGUGUGUGUGUGUGUGUGUGUGUGUUUAUAUGUAUGUGUGUAUGAGAAACAUUUGAGAUUUGCAGUGUGCUCAGGAAUAUAAAGCAUUCUGGGAAAAAGAUGUCAUUCAAAUGCAAAUGAAUACUGGUCAUUUCCUCCAGUUUUAUUGACUAAAAGUAUCAGUUGCAACAUCUCAAAAUCUAAUCUAUUUCUGUUUUAUGGAAUUAAAGCUUGAUUUAACGCAUGUCUUGUGGUCCUUCUGGGUCUAGGAGAUGAACAGACCAAAGUGGAAAUAAACAAAGCCGGGAAUCUUAAGCUAGAGUGUUGAGACCUAUUCACUCCCACACCCGGAGGAAUUUAUGACCAGUAAGUUGCUCUCUAAUGAGCACAGAACAAGAGCAUUGCAUCUUCUCUUAAUUAGUUUGACAGAUAUUCAUUUAAAUUUGAAAAGAUUCCCAGACUUGGGAUAGCAAAGGAAAGUCUUGAAUUUCUUUUGCAUCUUAAUUCUGUUUUUGUUGUGGUGUCUCUGGGGAAUGUCAAUAUCUGAAGACAAAUAAAAACUCAUGUCUUCAUCCUGGGACCUCCACAUUUUCUAUUUAUUAUUGGCCACAAACCACCAGGUUUCAGUUUGCAGCUGUAAAGUCGAACACAAAAGCAACAGGUUCUGCAAUAAUGCUGUUGGGCCUGGUUUCUAAGAGGGGUGGAUUUUUUUUUUCUCUUGGUUAAUAAAGGACAGAGUUUCAAGGCAAGCUUUAAAUAGCCAUCUUUACAUCAGAAUAAGUCACUUCGUGGGCAUCAUGAAACUAUGAAUUGUUUUUACCCAUAGGGCAUAGUUACCACCAGCCCUUGGUAAUCCAUGGAAAUGAGUAAUUGGGAGACCUUAUAUACUCCCAAGCCCCACCCCCACCCCCAUUCUUUUUUUUUUUUUUUGGAGACAUAGCUUCGCUUUUGUUGCCCAGGCUGGAGUGCAAUGGUGCGAUGUCAGCUCACUGCAACCUCUGCCUCCCAGGUGCAAGCAAUUCUCCUGCCUCAGCCUCCCAAAUAGCUGGGAUUACAGGCAUGCACCACCACGUCGGCCUAAUUUUUGUAGUUUUUUAGUAGAGACGGGGCUUCACCAUGUUGGCCAGGCUGGUCUUGAACCCCUGACCUCAGGUGAUCCACCUACCUCGGCCUCCCAAACAGCUGGGACUACAGGAGACAGCCACUGCACCAGGCCCCUCUAGGCAGUUCUAAGGCUUGCUCAAAUUUGAGAAAUACUAAUGUAGCAUAAGUGUUUAAUAAAUGGUGGCUGAUAUCAGCCAGGUGUUUAAUAAAUGGUGGCUCACACCUGUAAUCCCAACACUUUGGGAGGCCGAGAUGGGCAGAUCACCUGAGGUCAGGAGUUCAAGACCAGCCGGGCCAACAUGGUGAAAACCUGUCUCUACUAAAAAUACAAAAAUUAGCUGGGUGUGGUGGCAGGCACCUGUAAUCCCAGCUACUCGGGAGGCUGAGGCAGGAGAAUCACUUAAACAUGGGAGGCAGAGGUUGCAGUGAGUCGAGAUUGCACCAUUGCACACCAGCCUGGGAGACAAGAGUGAAACUCCAUCUCAAAAAAAAUUGAAAAAAAAACCAAAACUAUAUAAAUGGUGGCUGAUAUCAUUAUAAUAGUAGUUGUUAUUAUUAUUAUGUAUCAUCAGUAACAUAUAAAUAGUGCUCAAUAUAGUUUGAUUUUUAGUACAUUUCUUGAUAUUCUAAUUUUGAAAAUUAGUCAUAUUUGGCAAAUUUUACUAAGUGAAUUGAGAUAUACAAUUAACAACACUUUUCUAACCAUUCAACAUUUAGGAAAGCUUGUAUAUGUUUUUAAUUUCCUGGUAACUGAAUGGAGAGGGGCAGUUACUUCAUUUCUGGAAUAUACAUUGAGCCUCACAAAGUCAAAUAAUCCUUUGUCCAGCCUCUUAGUACAUCACAGUCCAUACAGACAAUCUGUUUUGGCUUUUUUGUUUGUUUUUUUAGAGACAGGAUCUUGCUCUGUCAGCCAGGCUGGAACACAGUGGUGUGAUCACAGCUCUCUGUAACCACGAACUCCUGGGCUCAAGCAAUCAUCUUGCUUCAGCUUUCUGAAUGGCUAAGACUAUAGGUUUGUGACACCAUACCCAGCUAAUUUUUAUUUUUAUUUUGCAGAGAUGGGGUCUUGCUAUGUUGCCUAGGCUGUGCUCAAAAGAUUCUCCUGCCUCAGCCUCCCAAACUGUUGGGUUCACAGGCGUGAGCCACUGCAACUGACCCUCAGAAUCAGUAUCUGACCAUGUUUCUCUUCAGGAUCAUAAGUCUUUUUAAAGAAAAAAUAUGAACAACCAAAUUAUGUUGUAGACUCUUAGUUUGCUUUCAAAUGACCCCAUUCUAUCAAAAUAGAUUAGACAUUAAGAGCAGUGUUAGCAUGAGGUCAGGGGUUUGAGACCAGCCUGGCCAACAUGGUGAAACCCCAUCUCUCCUAAAACUACAAGGAAAAAAAAAAUUAGCGGGGCAUGGUGGCUGGUGCCUGUAAUUCUAGCUACUUGGGAGGCUGAGGUAGGAGAAUUGCUUGAACCUGGGAGGCAGAGGUUGCAGUGAGCCAAGAUCGCACCACUGCACACCACCUGGGUGACAGUGCAUGACUCCAUCUAAAAUUAAAAAAAAAGGCAGCGUUAGCAGGCAAUUAACUCUUUGUGCCUAUCCACUGCUUCCUAACCCAUUUACCUAAAUAGACAGUCUAGAAUAUCAUAUGCUUACACCCUUAUGUAUUCUGUCUGGAAGUAAUAAUAUAAAAGAUAGCAUUAAUUUACUUUUUUUCAGUAGAUGCUACCGAACUGUCAACAUGUUAUUAGCCUUGAGUUCAGAUGUUCAAACUUGUCUCAGGCAGCUCUUGCUACCUGGUACCCAUUUUGUUUUAUUUUUAUUUAUCUUUUGGAGGGCAAGGAGGGAAUGGCUUUGAAAAAUCUCCUAGGCAAGAAAGAAGUCUUUUCUGCAAGGAAAAUGGAUCGUACUUUGUUUUCCUUCAUAAAGGGUAAUGAGGAUAUAAUCUCAAAGCUAUGCUUGACCAUCAUCUGUCAAACUAAAGCAAAUAAGCCAAGUCCCAUCUUCCCUUAUUGUAAAACUAGACCAGAGGAUAACCAACAUUGUCUAGGCAAAGAAAACCACCCACACUUCAGAAAAUGUUUACUUUUUCACUCUUGUUGAGUGAUAUGCCAUCAAGGUAUGAGUUAGACCUUGGCAUUUUGUGGAAAGGUUUUCUUUGUUUAGCAAAACCACAGCUGUUCACUUCUGGUAAUUUUGGAUUUCCUAAAAAGUGGCCAUAGCUUCUGAAUUUGAUUUUUAGUAAUCUUUAGCAGACUGAGAAUUUUUCUGAUUUGAAGAUUAUAUUGAAACACCAAAAAAAAAAAGUAGAGUGGUUUGUGUUUUACCUUCUGUAUUAAUGUGAAAUUAGAGAUGAAGCCUCUUUGUUGCUGAAAUAACUGCAUCCCCUUGUUUUCUGCUGUCCACUUUUAUGUAUUUCCUAAAUAUUCACAAAUCUUGAUACACUCCUGUAGAGAUUCUUAUUUUGUUUGUAUGUGUGUUUUUUUUACAGUAAUGUAUUUUUUUGGGAAUCCACCCACAGCUUUUUCAUGGUUUCUUCUGUAAUUUGGGUUUUAUUUUAAAACACUAUUGGAGUCCCUGGGGGGAAUCCUGCUGUUACCCCUAUCUAGAUCUCAAGGUUAUCUCCCUAUUCCGUUGAACGAGAGAGCCGAAGUCAAAGGUGAGUCAGGGAUUCCUUGGUGUGCAGGUUCUCACUGAUAAACAUGUUUUCUCCAGACCCAGCUGGGGGGCUAAGACUGGGGCAAUUGGUGAUGAGAGGGGCUGCUUCCAUCAAGUUCAGUAGCCCUCUGUCACAUGAGAAACUAUUUCACAACAAUCUCUACCCAUUUGUCCUCCACUGUGGAUAGGGAAGGGGGAGGGACUUGCUUAAAGAGUUCUAAGGUCAUUUUUUUCUCAUUAAAAAAAUUGCAGUGAAGGAUUCAUAACAUUAAAAUGACCAUUUUAACCAUUUUUAAGUUUAUAAUUUGGUGGCAUUAAGGGCAUUCACAUUUUUGUCCAACCGUCACCACUACCCAUCUUUAAGUGACUUGAAGACGAUUUGUUUAAAGUCACUUCUUGCCUCAGUUCCCAAAUUCCAGUUGACUGUGCACUCUCUGUCUCUCUCUCUCUCUUAAAGUCUAUGUUCUCAUUCUGAUUAUUUAACUUGGAGAGUGAGAAGGAUUUUUUUUUAACACCGCAUGAUGAAUUGGUCUCAGUGGAAUUCAAACGAUCUCGUUGUUUUGGUUAUUUCUUAUCAGGAAUGCUGGAUUUUUUUCUAAGAGCCAUGGCAGAGGUGAAGGGGCAAAACGGAGCCACCUCCUUUUGACUCAAUUAAGCAGAAGUGAGGAAAUGAUUGGGUGAUGGUAAAUCAUUCCUGGACAUAUAUUCUCCAUGCUAAAGGGGCAUCUGACACCCUGAAGAAACUGAGACCCCAGUUUUUACCUAGUGAACCUUCUGGCUGCACUUUAGGGAAAACUCCUUAUUGUUUUUAUAUUUGCUCUCCAUUGAUAAGAACUUCUUAAGGUCACAGUGUCCUUGGGUAAUGAAGCCAGGCAGAGGAAUGUUCUUUAAUAUUUACCUAGUGUGCACAGCACACCAGGAACUCUACAAAAGAUACACACAGAACAUGCCCAGCCUCUAGCUCAGCCUGACUUGGGGAGACUUCCCAUCAGGCACACCCUGUGCUGGCUCCAGCUUCUGGAGUUUCUGGGGAAUCAUACAUGAAGGGAUUAUCAUCUUCACCCAGUAUCCGGAUCAUCGGCCACAGAAGUUUGUUUGCUCAACACAGUCUGAAUCAGUACCAUGUUGAAUAAGACACAUUUUCCUUCUUGAAAUAUUCUUAGAACAAUGUUUGCAUUUUCCCCAAGGAAAAAACUUGCUCAGACACACACAGUUCUUUCUGAUCCAGAUACCCUGCUCUCCUCUGCCUCCUCUCAUUGUUGAAAAAGUGUUUCUAUUCCUGUACCCUAAACCCGCUCAAAGGGUUUCGAUUUGGAGGUAUUUUUCCCUUCCACAUAUGGAUAUGGCAGUAUCAUAAAUCUGAAGGAAGGAGCAAAAUUUUAAUCUGGGUGCAGCUGCGUGUAUACUGCUUCUCUCCUAAGGCAGGAUCUUCUAGUCAAAUCUCUGGCUAGUUGAAGAUGAUAUUAGGUAUAGAACUAGUUUGUUUAACCAAAACAAGAUGUAAGUGGAAGCAGCACUCAUGAUGCAGAACUAUUUAAAACUUUGUAGAGACAAUCUGAAGACCUAACUGGUGUGUUAGUCAGUAAGUUUUAACACCCUUUAAAUUGCUAAUGAAUCCCAGCGCCCAACAUUAUGAGCUGCUAAGUAGCUUCUAAAAGGAUUACUGUCAGACUUAAAAGUGUUUUCUUUCCACCAGGGCUGUAGUGGUCUUCAUAUAAAAUAUCAGUUGCUAUUAUUAAACUUUUUACACUGAAAAAUAAUUUAGUAUAAUAAUUAUAUUAUUUCAGGCAAGAUUUAGUUACAUGUUACAAAUACUUUAUAAAGUAAGCUGGGUGGGGUGGCUCAUGCCUGUAAUCCCAGCACUUUGGAACACUGAAGUAGGAGGAUCCAUUUAGCCCAGGAGUUUGAGAACAGCCUGGGCAACAUAGCAAGACUCCAUCUCAAUCAAUAAGUCAAUCAAUAAGCCGGACGUGGUGGCAUGCUCCUGUAGUUCUGCUACUUGGGAGGCAGAGGCAGAAGGAUCACUUGAAGCCAGGAGUUUGAGUUUGCAGUGAGCUAUAUGUAGCCUAGGUGACAGAGCAAGACCCUGUCUCUUAAAAAAAAAAAAAAGGUAGACGCUAUUGAAUAGCCAACUAAGCUAGAGUCAAAUCCAUGUACUAUCAGCCAUCCUAGCAUCUUGUGAGGUGGGUAGACACCAAGUCAGUCAGCUUCUAUGUUACAAAAACAAAAACAAAAUGGAGAAGGGAGAAUUCCUAGCAUAUGGAGCUGGUGGGGGCAUUGUAGGAUAGGUAGGUAGUCCAGGGUUCUUCCUCAGAUGUCCCUAACUCCCACCUCACCACUAUGUCUGGUGCAGAGAACUCUUCUACAGUAUUUCUGCUCACCUAGCCUCUCCUUGCCUGGUUUCCCACAACUGGACAAGUCAGCUCAUUUCUUAUCUACAUGGCUCUAAUUGUUAGAGAGUUAAAACUGUGAGUCCUCAAUUCUCUGCCUUCAGUAAUCACUGGCCAUGCUCGCAGCCAAGACAAGCUGUUAUUGUAUACUGUCAAGUUUUAGAAGACAUGUGCAGAGCUCACAUAAAGCAUUUCCCAUGGAUUGUUUGUAUUUUAGCAGAGUUGCAAGGAGUCAAGUACCAACAGUACAUGAGAAAUGUCUUAUCCAUCGCAUUAACACCUCCUUUCCUUUGAUAAAAAGCCCUCAGGUGGUCUUGGGAAUAUAGUGCAGAUGCACAGGUCAACAUGGAAAUUGGAAAACUCAGAUAGGACUUUGAUGGAAGUCAACCAUUCAAACCUGAAUCUUCUACUCGGCUCCUCUUGUUAAAAUGUUGAUAGCAAGGAAGAGAGGGCCAUGCCUAGGUUCAAGUAAAGGGCAUAUCUGAGAAGAAGGCUGGGGGAUAGCUGGUCCCUCAGCUACAGCUUUUAUCGGCCGUGCUGUAUCCUCAACUUCACUCCUAAGGAAAUGGGAUCAAGAACAACACAGUAUCACUUUUGCUCAGCAAGCCACUAGAAGGCCAACCCCAGUAUUUUACACAUUGUAAACCAUUUAAUAGCCGUUGACAGAAGGUUUGUAAACCUAAAUGGCUGCAGGACCAAGAAAGAAACACAAAUGAAUGAAAUGUUCCACGUACAAAAUCUAAGUGACCCUUUGUUCAAGAAUGCAAUGGGGAGUGGUGAGGACUGGGCAAAUGGUGGUCUUGGGAACAUAGUGCAGAUGCACAGGUCAACACCCGUCUAAAGGAGGACGUUGCUUCUCAACUCUAAUAGGUUCUUUUUGUUUUAUUCCUAUUUCUAUGUAUUUUUUUUAAUUUUACUUCGAAUUCUGGGAUACAUGUGCUGAACGUGCAGGGUUGUUACAUAGGUAUUCAUGUACCAUCAUGGUUUGCUGCACCCAUCAACCUGUCAUCUAGGUUUUAAGUCCCGCAUGCAUUAGGUAUUUGUCCUAAUGCUCUCCCUCCCUUUGCUCCCCACUCCCUGACAGGCCCCAGUGUGUGCUGUUUCCCAAUAGGUUCUUAUAAUGAAGGAAUGCAGAUCCAGUGUUGCCAGAAAUCUGGAUUUUUUAAGUGAACCAUCCCAAAUGACUCAAUUUGGAAUUUGAAAACAUUAUGUGGAAUAAUAUGGUAUAGGCCAACCAAAACAAGCCUGGGAGUCAAAUGCCAUUUGCAGAUGCUGGCCUAGGGUCAGAGAGGAUCAUGGAGUUGUGUCCCAAGUAAGGGCAUUUAAGAUGGGACUAUGAAGGAGUCCAGAUGGUUUUCUGCAAUGGGCCUUCGCCAUUCCCUUCCCUCUUCUCCAGAAGAAAAAUUGAGCUAAGCUCUGUGCCAUCCCUGAAGAAAUGCCUGUUGCCCUCUCAGAUCAAGGAGCUUAUUGGAGUGCAGAGGAGGAAGCUAGCUGAGAAUGGGAAUGUGGGGCAUGGAUACACAAGCAGCAGGGACAGAGCAUGAACACAGGAGACUACAGAGUUCUAGCACAUUUGAAGACAUGCCUAAACUCUUGCCAUUAGAACCUUUAACAUUUCCCCCCUUUCCUAAAAUCGUCCCUUUGCUUACUUCGAAUUGUCAGUACCGCCUUCAACCAAAAGCAUAGUUAAUGGAUUUGAAAUCAAUGCUCUCAAGUCUUAAUACACCGUGUUACCUGCGAUUUUGACUGACAUAUCCUCUCCAGGGGAUCAGACGGGAAAGGUGCCUGACAGGAACACUGGAGAAUUUCAGUCCUGAUUUGAAAUGAACGAUUAAGCCAACUGAUGCCGAAACAUGGUGUGUUCAGAGUUCCUGCUGGAGGAAUGCGGCGUUGUGCCUCUCCCCAUUUAUCAUGCUGUUUACAAAUCCUGUUAGAAGUUGAAAGUAAAUUAUCAUCCUGCUGUU